rnacentral:rRNA from 1 species
AUUGAACGCUGGCGGCAUGCUUACACAUGCAAGUCGAACGGCAGCGCGGGCUUCGGCCUGGCGGCGAGUGGCGAACGGGUGAGUAAUGCAUCGGAACGUGCCCAGUAGUGGGGGAUAGCCCGGCGAAAGCCGGAUUAAUACCGCAUACGACCUGAGGGUGAAAGCGGGGGACCGAAAGGCCUCGCGCUAUUGGAGCGGCCGAUGUCGGAUUAGCUAGUUGGUGGGGUAAAGGCUUACCAAGGCGACGAUCCGUAGCUGGUCUGAGAGGACGACCAGCCACACUGGGACUGAGACACGGCCCAGACUCCUACGGGAGGCAGCAGUGGGGAAUUUUGGACAAUGGGGGCAACCCUGAUCCAGCCAUGCCGCGUGCGGGAAGAAGGCCUUCGGGUUGUAAACCGCUUUUGUUCGGGAAGAAAUCCUCUGGGCUAAUACCCCGGGGGGAUGACGGUACCGGAAGAAUAAGCACCGGCUAACUACGUG